rnacentral:rRNA from 1 species
CUGCAGCCCGAGUGGUGAUCGAUUUUAUUGAGCCUAAAGCGUCCGUAGCCGGACUAGUAAACCCUUGGGUAAAUUGGGCAGCUUAACUGUCCGAAUUCCGAGGGGACUGCUAGUCUUGGGACCGGGAGAGGUCAGAGGUACUCCAGGGGUAGGGGCUAAAUCCUGUAAUCCUUUGGGGACCACCAGUGGCGAAGGCGUCUGACUAGAACGGAUCCGACGGUAAGGGACGAAACCCUGGGGCGCGAACCGGAUUAGAUACCCGUGUAGUCC